AACGAACGCUGGCGGCAUGCCUAACACAUGCAAGUCGAACGAGACCUUCGGGUCUAGUGGCGCACGGGUGCGUAACGCGUGGGAACCUGCCCUUAGGUUCGGAAUAACUCCCCGAAAGGGGUGCUAAUACCGGAUAAUGUCUUCGGACCAAAGAUUUGUCGCGUUUGGUUGGGCCCGCGUUGGAUAAGCUAGUUGGUAGGGUAAAAGCCUAUCAAGGCGACGAUCCAUAGCUGGUCUGAGAGAAUGAUCAGCCACACUGAGACUGAGACACGGCCCAGAAUCCUACGGGAGGCAGGAAUGGGGGAUAUUGGAAAAUGGGCGGAAGGCUGAUCCAGCAAUGCCGGGUGAGUUAUGAAGGCCGUAAGGUUGUAAAGCGCUUUUACCCGGGAUGAUAAUGACAGUACCGAGAGAAUAAGCUCCGGCUAACUCCGUG
rnacentral:rRNA from 1 species